UAAAAAUUUCUCCAAACAAUUAAAAAGUUCUGCAAAGAAGCCUAUUUAUUUAUUUAUUCAUUGUUGAGUUUAUUUUCAAUCCAGUAAACCGCCCACCCAUGCGUUACUUUUUUAAUAAAAAUAAAAAACAUUUUUUAAUUAUUUAUGAUUUUAUUUUUUUAAACACAUCUCUUAUGUUAUUUUCGAGUAUUUCAAUAACAAAAUUUUUUUUGUUGAGUUAUCCAGAGAACAUUCAACCUGAAAAGUUCCUAAUUAUUUUUUUAUUUUCGGACAAUAGUUCAUGGGCGUUUUCGCGCGCUCAUUUUCAUCCACACAAGAGUCAAAUGAUCUGAAGAAAAAGAGUGAAUAAUAUCUAUUCUCUUCCUCAUUAAGUGCGCCCUCUACUGACGAUCCUCUAAAGCUUCGGUCAUAACAUGAAGUAUCGUUUGCGCGGAAGGAGUCACUAUGGGAAAUUUUUCUCUGUUGUUAAAUUUAAAUUUCUUAUGAACUCUUUAAGUUUGGUAAUGAUAAUACGAGUUCACAGUUUUGGAGAUUAAUGUUGAAACAACGUUGACGUAUUCCCUGCAAUUUUAUAAUUGUAAUAUAAGUGGUAAGUCAUGCCAUUUGUAUUUUUAUGAGCCGAGUAGGUAAUGUAUAUUCAAUAUUUACAUUUAACGUUUUAUCUCUUGCUGUUCAAAUCUCCUUUUGAUAUUUAUAAAAUUCUUCUUGCAUUUUUCUCUAAGUCUUAUGAUAAUAGUCAUUGGUAUUAUAUGUGAUUCAACAUAUUGAAGUCACCUGAUGUAGUGUGACUAAUCAUUUGU